rnacentral:rRNA from 1 species
UAACGACUCUCGGCAACGGAUAUCUCGGCUCUCGCAUCGAUGAAGAACGUAGCGAAAUGCGAUACUUGGUGUGAAUUGCAGAAUCCCGUGAACCAUCGAGUCUUUGAACGCAAGUUGCGCCCGAAGCCUUUGGGCCGAGGGCACGCCUGCCUGGGCGUCACGC